rnacentral:rRNA from 1 species
AACGAACGCUGGCGGCAUGCCUAACACAUGCAAGUCGAACGAGACCUUCGGGUCUAGUGGCGCACGGGUGCGUAACACGUGGGAAUUUGCCUCGGGGUAUGGAAUAACUCAGGGAAACUUGAGCUAAUACCAUAUAAUGUCUUCGGACCAAAGAUUUAUCGCCCUGAGAUAAGCCCGCGUAGGAUUAGCUAGUUGGUGGGGUAAAGGCUCACCAAGGCGACGAUCCUUAGCUGGUCUGAGAGGAUGAUCAGCCACACUGGGACUGAGACACGGCCCAGACUCCUACGGGAGGCAGCAGUGGGGAAUAUUGGACAAUGGGCGAAAGCCUGAUCCAGCAAUGCCGCGUGAGUGAUGAAGGCCUUCGGUUGGUAAAGCGUCUUUACUCGGUACGAUAAUGACGGUACCGAGAGAAGUAAA